rnacentral:rRNA from 1 species
CGGGUGAGUAACGCGCAUCCAACCUGCCGUCUACUCUUGGACAGCCUUCUGAAAGGAAGAUUAAUACAAGAUGGCAUCAUGAGUCCGCAUGUUCACAUGAUUAAAGGUAUUCCGGUAGACGAUGGGGAUGCGUUCCAUUAGAUAGUAGGCGGGGUAACGGCCCACCUAGUCUUCGAUGGAUAGGGGUUCUGAGAGGAAGGUCCCCCACAUUGGAACUGAGACACGGUCCAA